AGAGGGUGUUGGUAUUGUUUAUAAAAAUGGCGAAAUGUGUGAAGAGUUUUGUCAUCUUCUGUUUUCGAAUUUUCAUGUUUCACUGCACAAAAUCAACCAAUUAUUUACAUAAAAUGUACCUGCCGUCUAGUCAACAGAUUAAAUUUGGACCCCAUUUUAAAAACAAAUUGCUCAACACCUCUGUAACUCACACCCUCAGCUUCAUAUGCAUCAUCCUCUCACAUCUUAGUCAAAACUUCGAGCUGUUUUGCUUAAUAGUUGUGGCAUUGGAUGUGUGGUUACAGGUUCAUUCUUUCCUGAAAGAUGCUUCACCUUUGAACACUUUUGGUGGGGUGUCAUGAAAUUGUAUUGCUGCCGAUUCCCUGCAGCUCCCACUUCAUAGCUACAAGAAAUGACUUAUAGGAAGCCUACAACAGAUUGAGGUGGUGUGGUAUGCCAUUGGAUUUCGCGAGUCAGCCGCCGAUGUCAAUCUACAACGCAGUUUAUUUAUUGAAAUUGUGUGGUCCUGGCACAGAUAGAUCCUUGAUGCUGGCCUUUUUCCUUGACAGAAGAGUGACUUCUACCAACUUUCUGCUCCAUCCUUAUCUUCGCUUCCCACACUCAUCUAGCUUCUCUGCAUAUUAUGCUGCUAAACAAUUUGUCCUACUUCACUGACGAGUUAGACCAGUCGCUUCCGUCCGCAGCGACAGACCUACUGUCACUCACCACGGAAUUAUGCCCAGGAACGUAACACACUACCUUGUAAUGGCAACUCUAGCAGAGCAAGCGUCCAAGCUGCUGGACUUUGAUCAGAAGUUGGACAUUACAUUACUUGAUAGCAUAGUUGGGUGUAUGUACUCUGGAGCUGGCGAACAACAACGACUAGCAUGUGACGUCUUGACGACACUGAAGGAGCACCCUCAGGCUUGGACGAGAGUAGACACAAUCCUUGAGUUUUCGAGCAAUCAAGAAACAAAGUAUUAUGCCCUGCAAAUUCUAGAAGCCGUCAUAAAAACUAGAUGGAAAACCUUGCCUCGAGAGAAAUGCGAAGGAAUAAUGAAAUACAUUGUCGGUUUGACCAUCAAAAUAUCUUCAGAAAACGAAAGUGUUGAACGUGAAAAAGUGUACCUUAGUAAACUCAACAUGGUACUGGUUCUAAUACUGGAACGUGAGUUGCCCAACCAUUGGCCCUCGUUCAUCCCAGAUAUUGUCGGUGCCAGCAAAACCAACGAGAGUUUGUGCCAAAAUAACAUGGCCAUCCUUAAGCUUCUUUCGGAAGAAGUAUUUGACUUUUCAUCUGGUAACAUGACGCAGAUUAAAGCUAAGCAUCUGAAGGAUUCCAUGUGCUCUGAAUUUUCCCAGAUUUUCCAGCUCUGCCAGUUUGUUAUGGACAAUUCAGUCAACGCUGCCCUUGUGGGUUCUACCCUAGAAACACUUUUACGAUUUCUCAGCUGGGUACCUCUGGGCUACAUCUUUGAAACCAAGCUGAUUGCAACUCUCACUUUAAAAUUUCUGAACGUGCCACUCUUUCGCAACGUUACUUUGAAGUGUCUCACAGAAAUUGCCGGCCUAGCCACUGGUCCCCAAUACGACGAUGCAUUCACCGCUCUUUUCUCCCGGACGAUGACUCAACUGGAGUUGAUGCUCCCUCUCGACAUGAAUAUCAAAGAAGCUUUCGCCAAAGGCCAUGACACAGAACAGAAUUUUAUCCAGAACUCGGCCAUGUUCCUCUGUACCAUGCUACGUCAGCAUGGUCCAUUGAUGGAGCGUCGCAACAAGGUCAACGUUCUCAAAGCCCUUCAGUAUCUACUACUCAUCUCCGAGGUGGAAGAGACUGAAAUCUUCAAAAUUUGCCUCGAGUACUGGAACGCCUUGGCCGCCGACUUGUAUUGCGAGAUGUUAAUGACCAAAACGAGCAACACAGGAUCAUCUGCACGUUACGUCUUCUAUCAGACAGUUCUCAGUCGGUUGCGUUACAUCAUCAUCAGCCGAAUGGCGAAACCUGAGGAGGUGUUGGUGGUUGAGAACGAAAAUGGCGAGGUGGUUCGAGAGUUUAUGAAGGAUACCGACUCCAUUAACCUCUACAAGAACAUGCGAGAGACUCUCGUCUACCUGACCCAUUUGGAUUACGUCGAUGCCGAGAGGAUCAUGACGGAUAAACUGCAAAACCAAGUAAAUGGAACGGAGUGGUCCUGGAAAAACCUCAACACUCUGUGCUGGGCGAUUGGCAGCAUAUCAGGAGCCAUGCACGAAGAAGACGAGAAGCGAUUCUUGAUCACAGUCAUCAAGGAACUCCUGAGUCUAUGCGUUCAGAAAAGGGGCAAGGACAACAAGGCUAUUAUUGCCUCCAAUAUCAUGUACGUUGUAGGUCAGUAUCCUCGUUUCCUUCAAGCCCACUGGAAGUUUCUCAAAACUGUCGUCAACAAACUUUUCGAGUUUAUGCACGAAACACACGAUGGUGUCCAGGACAUGGCUUGCGAUACUUUCAUCAAGAUUGCCCAAAAGUGUCGUCGACACUUUGUGCAGCUACAGGCCGGUGAAGUGACACCUUUCAUUGAAGAGAUUCUAUCGACCAUCAGCACCAUCAUUUGCGAUCUCCAACCUCAACAAGUUCACACGUUUUACGAAGCUGUCGGCUACAUGAUUAGUGCUCAAACUGAGAAAAGUGUUCAAGAACCUUUAAUCGAGCGCUACAUGCUCCUACCCAACCAAGUGUGGGAUGAAAUCAUCAAUCAGGCCACGCGCAACGUCGACGUUCUCAAAGAUCCCGACGCAGUCAAGCAGUUGGCUAACAUUUUGAAGACAAACGUCCGGGCUUGCAAAGCGCUGGGCCAUCCGUACGUCUCCCAGCUCGGUAGGAUCUUUGUAGGUAUGCUUAAUGUGUACAAGGUGAUGUCAGAAAACAUUAGCGGUGCGAUCGCCCUCAGUGGAGAAAACGUUACUAAGCAGCCCUUGAUCAAGAGCAUGCGGCUCGUCAAGAAGGAGACCCUCAAACUCAUUUCCGAUUGGGUCUCCGAUUGGGGCUCACGUUCCAACGAUCUCGUGCUCGACAACUUCAUCCCACCGCUGUUGAAUGCAGUUCUCUACGACUACCAACGGUGCGCAGAUCCUUCGGCCCGCGAACCCGAGGUUCUCAGCACGAUGGCCACCAUCGUCAACAGACUGAAGGGCCACACCACCUCCAAUGUGCCGAAAAUCUUCGACUCGGUAUUCCAAUGCACCUUGGACAUGAUCAACAAGAACUUUGAAGAAUUUCCCGAGCAUCGUACCAACUUUUACCUUCUGCUCCGGUCCAUCAACAACCACUGUUUCCCCACCUUCCUCAGUCUGCCUCCGGCCCAGUUUAAGCUAGUGCUCGACUCAAUCAUCUGGGCGUUUAAGCACACGAUGCGUAACGUUGCCGACACGGGUCUCGACAUUCUCUACCAGCUCCUGCAGAAUGUCAGCCAACACGAACAGGCGGCACAGAGCUUUUAUCAGACUUACUACAUCGAGAUUCUGCAACACGUUUUCUCUGUAGUGACCGACACAUCACACACGGCGGCCCUCACCAUGCACGCCACCAUCCUGGCUUACAUGUUCACAAUUGUCGAAAUGGGAAAGGUGGCGGUGUCGUUAAACCCGACUGGCGCCGUGAUUGCCCCAGAGAGUCUGGCGGCUGCCAAUGUCAUCUUCGUCCAGAAUUUCGUAGCGGAGGUGCUGCACAAUGCCUUUCCUCACUUGACACAGCUCCAGAUUAAGGUGACUGUCGAAGGACUCUUCAACCUUGAUCAAGACAUCACUGGAUUCCGGGAACAUCUCCGAGAUUUCCUCGUUCAGAUCAAAGAAUUUACUGGUGAUGACGACAGCGACCUGUAUUUGGAAGAGAGAGAGGGUGAGCUGCGGCGUGCCCAGGACGAGAAACGCAAACUCCAAAUGUCGGUGCCGGGCAUCUUGAACCCGUACGAAAUCGCCGCUUUUUAUGCAAGAUUAAGUCUUACUUGAAAAAAACAAAAAAUCUUAAAGAAGAGGGGCCUGAAUUAGCUCAGAGAGAAUCACGCGGGAAUUUGCUGUCGGAUAAAGAGAAGGUUCCUUCAAGAGAGGCAUGCAGCGCCACCACAGCUUCGAAUCGCUCGUCUGCUUUGUUUUGAGUUUGUUUUGUUCAUGGCUUUGUUUGGGUUUUACAACCAGCAUUCCUUCUCGUCAUGUCAAUAAAGUUUGGUUGUUUCGUAAUGGUGAUCCUAUUUAUUUACUUUUUAUUCCAUUUUCUCUUACUUUUUGAAGCUUUACUUUCUUGGUGACAAUCCUGCAUGAAGCACUGGCAUCAUCUAGCGGUUGUUUCUAACAAUUCAUACGAUUGUCCAGUUUGCCGCUAGAGGGUGUUGAUAUUGUUUAUAAAAAUGGCGAAAUGUGUGAAGAGUUUUGUCAUCUUCUGUUUUCGAAUUUUCAUGUUUUACUGCCCAAAAUCAACCAAUUAUUUACAUAAAAUGUACCUGCCGUCUAGUCAACAGAUUAAAUUUGGACCCCAUUUUAAAAACAAAUUGCUCAACACCUCUGUAACUCACACCCUCAGCUUCAUAUGCAUCAUCCUCUCACAUCUUAGUCAAAACUUCAAGCUGUUUUGCCCAAUAGUUGUGGCAUUGGAUGUGUGGUUACAGGUUCAUUCUUUCCUGAAAGAUGCUUCACCUUUGAACACUUUUGGUGGGGUGUCAUGAAAUUGUAUUGCUGCCAUUCCCUGCAGCUCCCACUUCAUAGCUACAAGAAAUAACUUAUAGGAAGCCUACAACAGAUUGAGGCAAAGGUGGUGUGGUAUGCCAUUGGAUUUUGCGAGUCAGCCGCCGAUGUCAAUCUACAACGCAGUUUCUUUAUUGGAAUUGUGUGGUCCUGGCACAGAGAUCCUUGAUGCUGGCCUUUGUCCUUGACAGAAGAGUGACUUCUACCAACUUUCUGCUCCAUCCUUAUCUUCGCUUCCCACACACAUCUAGCUUCUCUGCAUAUUAUGCUGCUAAACAAUUUGUCCUACUUCACUGACGAGUUAGUCCAUUCGCUUCCGUCCGCAGCGACACACCUACUGUCACUCACCACGGAAUUAUGCCCAGGGAAAGCUGCUCGAGUAAUCUGUCUGAGUAAUCCUCACUUGAUUCAUUUCGUGCCAGCUAGAGCUAGUGAAAGGCGUGACGAAUUCAAAUUUAGCUGCUGCUUGCUGUCGGCUAGCAAGCAAUCCAAUUGAUGUCCACCAGGUGGCGCGAGUGUCUUCAAGGACUAAAUUCGGCCAUUUUGUACCUUGACGCAGCAGAAGUGGGGUGCCUGACGUGACGCUAAAUGAAAGGUGAUUGAGUGCCACUUUGCCAUCGGAAUUGAAAAUGCCUGUACAUUUGCCGAAAUGUCGUGCCUCGUGUGUCUCGCUGCCUGUACCCAGUCGUACGUCUUGUCCCAUGCAGCAGCAAAAGUCUAACAACCACGCUUCUUGCUGCAGCCAAAUGGUGAAAGGUGUGAGUGUGAUGAAGAAAAGUUCAACCGUUGUAUGCAGGAUGUGGUGCCAGUGUUAUCCAGAAGUAGCUGUGCUGGAGUUAUCCCAAAGCAGCUGUGCCAGAAUUUUCCCAAAUUGCUGACUUCAAAAUUUCAACUGUUUUCAUUUGUGGUUUUUGCUUUGCAAGUGGUAUCCCGUGUUCCUGACUUAAAAUAUUUUUAUCCAUUUUUAUUUGUGGUUUUCCUCUGCCAGUGAGUUGCUUGCUUGAAUUGGUUUCAUCUGUGUCUUUUGCGUUUUUACUUGUGCAAUGUGCAGUAUACGAUUGUGGCAAUCUGACCCCAUGUCAGAUUUGACAUAGUCGAUAACUGCUAGAUUAAAUUCCGGCUUUCUGCACCAACAAAAUAAUAACGGCACAUGUUAUUAUCGCGGUUGGGAAAGUCACAGGCCCCCCCCUCCCUGGGGGCCAAAAAAUAUAUAUGUGGUUGUGAUGAAAUAAAUAAAAAUAUAAAAAUAAA
rnacentral:misc_RNA from 1 species